CCCUCUCCUGCCCCCCUGCCGCCGCCUACCCUCUCCUCCCCGGCUCCUCGCGGCCACCUCCCCGCUCUUACCGGCUCCCCGCCGCCCUCUUCGUCCAUCUCCUGCUCCCCGCCGCCGCCUCCCCUCUCUUCUCCCGGGCUCGCCUCCCCGCCCCUCACGCCUCCGCGUGGCACGGGCCAGCAUGGAUCUGGCGAGUCACGGCUUACCUCCCACGGCUGCUCGUCGGUGAGCGCGUUCUCGAAGUCCUCCUCCUCCCUCCCGCUUCACCCUCAGCGCCUCCCGCCGGCCGCGGCCCCCCUUGCUCCUCGGGCGUCGAGGCACGAGCUGCCUCCCCGAUGGCCUCGGCGGCCGCCUGCUCCUCGAGAAUCGGCGGGGAGGGGCGCGUCGCCUUCUCCGGCGUGGCUCCGGUGGGCCGCGGCCUACUUCCCGCGGCUGCUGGUCGGUGAGCGCGUCCUAGGCCUCCUCUUCCUCCCUCGGUGCCUCCCCGCCGGCCGCGGCCCUUGCUGCGCGCGCGCAUCCAAGGAAGAUGCAGGAUCCGGCCCGAUGCCAGCCUCGGGGAUGCUCGGCGUCCUCGCCGCCUCGUCGACGCUUGAGCUUGAAAUCUGAAGUCAGACUCCCAAUCAGCAGCGACUGCCACCACCUCGGCAAGUGUCAGUCUCACUGUAUCCUACCUCUUGCAGCCCCGUGCUUGCUUUUGCUUGCUUGCUACAUGAGCUACAAAAUAUUCUCAAGGGAAGAAUGUACUAUGCUCCUACUACAUAACUCCCUGCAUAACUGUGGUAUCUGUCAGGAUGUAUGUGCUUGUUUGCUGUAUAAUUGCUUGUUUGCUGUAUAAUUGCAUCACCAAUAAUCUGAAUGAAAGAUUGGGUUGGUUUAAGUAUUGGGAUCAGUGGCUUUGCGAUUGCAAGAUUUCAUAUGCAACUGGUUCUAAGAUGUAAGGCUUGAUUUAACAAUAUUUUUGUGGAUUCAAUGCUCAAUAUCCAACCAUUGAAGUGCUGUCCAGGUAGGCGCAUUUGGCUGCAUCUGGGUUGACAUUUUUUUUUAUAACACAAUCAGAUAGGAUAGACAUAGUCAUGGCUAAGUUUACAUGGUCUUGUUCUCAAGCAUCUCAAUUCUAUUACCACCUGCAUACAGUGAUAGUGGAAUUAGUCAGUGAAUAUAUGUGCUUGAUUGCUACAUUUACCUAUGCUAUAAGAUGAUGGGCAGGACUAUUUUUUUAAAUAGAGAUAGAGAUGAAGGGUAAGACUUGCUGGGACGGUUUUAAGUAUAGAGCUUAUGUCUUCUUAACUGCCACUUAAUUUCAGAUGUAUUAGGCGAUCACAGGGUGUGCUGCUAUUACUUGUAAGAAUUGCUGCUUGAAAGCAUGUGUGCCCGACCAACCAUGUAGAACCAAUGGCCGUCUUGAAAUCAGAUCAUUUCGCUUUGUUUAGUCUGGCAGUUUUCUUCAGGUUGUUUCUCCAGUAGCUAAUAUAUCACAGACAGUUUGAAAUAGCCUUCUAUUUGGUGAUUUUGGGGAAGAAGAUUCGCUUCCCAGAUUCUGGUGGUUGGUCGAAACAAAUGUGAUAACUUAAGCAAGUUCUUGAUUGUUCUGAGUCUAGAUAUCCCUUUGAGUUGUUAAAGCUACCAAUUUCUGAAACAGUCUUGGACAUUGAUUCAUGGAGCACAACAUGGGUAGGCAUUUUGACCAUGGAACCAGAAAUAACAUCGAGUGGACUAUUGCUGCAUUCGUUCUUGUGGACAAGAAAACAUGAUAUGUUGACUGAUGGCCAAAGCUGCAACAAGUUUGUCACAUGUAAAAUGAAUCCCCUAUUGCAGUCUUGCGGACGGACUUAUCUCCAGGCACAACAUUUCCAUCUCCAGGACACAGUGUAUUGUUACUCAUUACAGAUACUUGCCUGCAGGGUGUGCCAUCAUGAGGUGUCCCCAUCGUUACCUUUGAUAUUCUGUUAGAUCUUGGCCUCAAGUAUUCUGUUAAAGCGUACAUGUAAUGAGGUAAGUGACUUCUUUCUUAUACUUUUGUGUGUUGUUAGACAUUCUGAUUUGAAAAUCACAUUUAGAUAUCUAAAUUUACUUCUUUAAUUGCUGGCAGCUAUAGCUCAUAUGAGAUGUACUGCUUUAUCUGUAGCUCAUGUUUGGGCCAUUUGAUCAGUAUGGUUGCUUCUUGCUGGUAGCAACAGGCAACUUGAUUUUUUGCUUGCAACAAAGCAAGCAGGUUGAGUUGGAUGAACCAUGCAAAUGAUCGAGUGGAGAUAGGAUCGUCCCAAUUUUAGACAGAUACCUUUUCUGAGGCGACACCCCAGUUUCUCAAUUGCUUUGCUCAUCCAAUUAAACAGAUGCUUUGUGGGCUUGUGGCUGUUAGUGUGCUUAGUGUUAAUGGUUACUGCAAAGGAACCAAACCUUUUACUAAGAACUAAUUACACAUACAGCAUAAAAUUUGUUUUAUAGUUCUGCACUCAAUCUGGAAUUUAUAGUUUGUUCUUAUUAGUUUUUUUUUGACAAUAGUUUGACAUCAGAACUCCCAUUUAUAAGGUUUGACAUUUAUAAAGCUGUAAAGAAUCCAAAGACCUAUUCAAUGACAUUUCAUAUACUUAAUUAGCUCCUAUUGAUAACAGCUUAUAUGGGUGUUUUAAAUGACCCGAAGCAUUCUUCCAAGGCUGCAGAAGUGCUAGCAUAAUUUUUGGAUCAAUUCGCAUGAAUGAGAGCUUUAGAAAUACCUUAGUUAGGACAAAAAGGACAUGAAGUUUAUUUCAUUUGUUAUUCGUUUGUGCUUGAAUGAGGUGAAAUCUUAGCGAGGGAUUGUACUUCUUUUUGAGGUUCAGUGUACUUUACUGCUGUUCAGAGAUGCGUGUUCGUCAAGUGGUGAUAACAAUAGGAGCCUAUUUUACCUUCUAACAAUAAAGGGUGACAAAUUUAUAUUAUCUUAAAUAUAUUUGAUUCUACUGCUGGAUUUGAUUGUUAAAAUGGUAGGGCGCGCAUCGCGCGCCAAAUGUUCUAGUCAAAAUAGUUAACAGCUGCCGCUCUGCGCUCCUCUCUCCGCAACUCACGGUAAAUGUAGGACGCGUGUCGACACACCGGAGUGCUGACCAAUUUUUAGAAACACCCUCCUCUUUUCUAAGAAUCACAACUCAGUACAGGGCGCCCAAAAUAAACAGAAACCACGUUUUUAUAUUUUUUACAUAGGUCUCCUGUUAAAAUUUAAUUCAACGUGAAGAAGGAAAAAUUCGAUAUUGCUGUUAUUUUUACAAACCGACCCCCGCGAGACACUUUUGCAAAAAAGCCAUCCCGCAGCCCCCUCGCUCUCCUCCCCGCCUCCGCCCCUCUCUUCCCCUCUCCUCUCUCUGCCUCCCUGCCGCCACCUCCCCUCCCCUUCUCCCUCUGACCCUCUCCACCUGCCUCCGUCGCCCAUCCCCGCCGCCGCACGCUCCCGCAGGAUCCAGAUCCGAUGUGGGGCGCGGCUCGAAGGGAGGGGCGCAUGCCGGCCGCCCACGGCGUGGCUGCUCCAGCGCAUGGAGCCGAGCGACGGCCGCCGCAUGCCCAGGUAGCCCCCCGCUAGACCACGGGCCGUGUCCCCGUCACCUUGGAUGCGGAGGAAGCGCGACUUGCCGAGGUUGACGGUGAGGCGGUGGCGGACGGGCGCGGCAGAGCGUGUCGGUCGAGCUCCUCGACGCGCUACGGAAGGCCAAGCACAACACCGUCAGCUUCCGCGCGCUGCAACGCACGUCGUCGUCGAGCUCAGAAGGAUGUUCAAGGUCUUCGACAACCUAAGGGCAUCGCGCGGUGUGUCCCCCAUCUCCCUUCCUCUCCUACUCCCCAGCACCGCCCUCUCUAUCUCUCUCUCUCCCUCUCUGCUCUCCUCCUCCCCCCUUCCUCUUCUCCUGGUGGGUGAUGGUCAAUCACCAGCGGUUCCUAGUGGGCAGCUUCGCAUUGGCCAUGGCUCACGAACCCCACAUUUUCUCCUCCCCUGCUGGCACCGCAACAACAACCUUUGUUGCAGUUCUCUGGUGAGCAUCCUCCUCCUCCCAAUCUCCUUUGCUCUCUGUCCAUCCUCCUCUCCCCAUCCGUUUCUAGGAUUUGGGUUUCAGUUCUUUGUUGUCACAGAUCUACUCAAGCCUGCUUCUUCUUUUGCUGCAAGGUGUUAGAUCUGAUGAUGGAAAUAGAUUUAAUUUGGGAAGGGAAAAAAUCCAGUGAGAAAUUUGGCAGAUCAUGUAUGCGCUAGCAACACUAGCAUGUUGUUAUUCUGUCAUCUUUUCCCGCAACACUUGCCUGACCAAAUGCUCUUGGAGUAUAAAUUGAUGAUGCAUCAGCAAAUGGAGAACUCUAAAAUAUUUUGUUCAUGCUAUAGAAUUUGUUGGUGAUCAAGAGUGAAGGUUUCUAAUGAUUGUUUUCUCAUGCUGCAUCAGGAGUGGAAUUAUUAUGCUAUAAUAAUUAUUUUCUCUUGAUUACAGUGGAUGAUUGAUUCAAGUUCUUUAGCACUUGUUUUUAUACCAGAGCAGGUGAGUUGCCGAUGACCAGAGCAGGUGCCAUGCCUUUCUACUAAAAUGGUUAUGUGCUUGGCGUCAGAUUUGCUGAACAUUCAGUUAGAGGCCUUGCAGUGAAACCUUCCAUAUAUUUUUUGAUUAGGUACUCGGGAUAACUGCAUAGGUUUGUUCUACCUUUAGCAUAGGAUCUAAAAUAUUGCCGUAUGGAUUGAGCUCUAAUACUUUUUCUAUCAAACUGCAUAGGUUUGUCAUGAUAACUUCUAUCAAACUGCACCAGGAUGAUUGGCAUGUUGGUUUUGUCUAUGAAAGAAACGGUGUUCCUAUUGCCGCUCAUGCAUGUGUACUGCUAGAUGCCUACAAAUAUCAAAGGCAGGGAGAACUGAAAGUUGGUUUUGCCUCUGAUUAUGUAACUGCGAAUUCUUUGAUUGUGCAGGCAAACUCCUAUUGGUUGUACAUUGUACCGUGGGGAAUCAACAAGGCGUCUCUGAAAAUUUUCCUUUAUUUGGUUUCGGUUAGUACUUCAUUUCAUCAUGUCUCAUUUCGUAUUGUUCCUAAUAAUUCAUUAGAGUCAAUGCAUGUGGUUUUUGAAUUCAGGUUGUAAAGGUUGACUAAAGCUGACUGUUACAAGGAAAGUUACAUAACAAUGUUCUUAAAUAUUGUGGCAAAGUAGAGUUGCAAACUGCAACCAAAUCUGAGGAAAUUAAGUUGGGAUGAUUCAUUUGCUUCCAAAAGUUCUUUCAGAUGCAGGGUAAAAUGUGACAAGGGAAGGUGAAGGCUCUCUGUGAAGAUUCGUUCUGUUGAUGGAUGAUGAAGCUACCUCUGCUAUUCAAGAACUAAUCUACGAAACUGUUAUAAUUAGUACUUCUAUCAUGAAUGUUUGUAACAUGUUGGAUCGUCUUGGCUUUGAAUUUCAUGCUGUCUAGAUCAUUCAGGUCUGGAACUGUUGUUAUUUGCAUAUUUACGUAUCUUGGUUAACUUGGUUAAUUUAGUGUUUUCAAAUCAUGUGAUUACAGAAGUU